rnacentral:piRNA from 1 species
UACCCAUCUCGCCAAAUUUUU